UACGAAGGGGGCUAGCGUUGCUCGGAAUCACUGGGCGUAAAGGGCGCGUAGGCGGCCAUUCAAGUCGGAGGUGAAAGCCCAGGGCUCAACGCUGGAAUUGCCUUCGAUACUGUCUGGCUAGAGACCGGAAGAGGUAAGUGGAACUGCGAGUGUAGAGGUGAAAUUCGUAGAUAUCGAGAGGAACACCUGCGGCGAAGGCGGGUUGCUGGGCUGACACUGACGCUGAUGCGCGAAAGCCAGGGGAGCGAACGGG
rnacentral:rRNA from 1 species